UACGUAGGGGGCAAGCGUUGUCCGGAUUUAUUGGGCGUAAAGAGCGUGUAGGCGGUUCAGUAAGUCGGGGUGUGAAAACUCAGGGCUCAACCCUGAGCUGCCACCCGAUACUGCUGUGACUUGAGUCUGGUAGGGGAGUGGGGGAAUUCCUGGUGUAGCGGUGAAAUGCGCAGAUAUCAGGAGGAACACCGGUGGCGAAGGCGCCACUCUGGGCCACGCUGACGCUGAGGAGCGAAAAGCAUGGGUAGCAAACAGG
rnacentral:rRNA from 1 species